UACGUAGGGUGCAAGCGUUGUCCGGAAUCAUUGGGCGUAAAGUGUGCGCAGGCGGCUCCGCAAGUCGAGUGUGAAAUCCCCGGGCUUAACCUGGGAACUGCGUUUGAAACUGGAAGGCUAGAGUGUGGCAGAGGGGGGUGGAAUUCCACGUGUAGCAGUGAAAUGCGUAGAGAUGUGGAGGAACACCGAUGGCGAAGGCAGCCCCCUGGGCUAACACUGACGCUCAUGCACGAAAGCGUGGGGAGCAAACAGG
rnacentral:rRNA from 1 species